GACGAACCGUGCGAACGUUAUUCGGAAUCACUGGGCUUAAAGCGCGUGUAGGCGGGACGGCACGUCGGUCGCUGAAAUCCCCCGGCUUAACCGGGGAACUGGCGUCGAUACGACCGCCCUGGAGGGGCGUAGGGGGACCUGGAACUUCCGGUGGAGCGGUGAAAUGCGUUGAGAUCGGAAGGAACGCCCGUGGCGAAGGCGGCUACCUGGACCAGCACUGACACUGAGGCACGAAAGCGUGGGGAGCAAACAGG
rnacentral:rRNA from 1 species